rnacentral:rRNA from 1 species
UACGGGGGGGAGCAAGCGUUGUUCGGAUUUACUGGGCGUAAAGGGCGCGUAGGCGGCGCAACAAGUCACUUGUGAAAUCUCCGGGCUUAACCCGGAGCGGUCAAGUGAUACUGUCGUGCUAGAGUGCGGAAGGGGCUACUGGAAUUCUCGGUGUAGCGGUGAAAUGCGUAGAUAUGCGGAGGAACACCGAUGGCGAAGGCAAUCCCCUGGACCUCGUACUGACGCUCAUGCACGAAAGCGUGGGGAGCAAACAGG